AGGCAGCAGUGAGGAAUAUUGGUCAAUGGGCGGGAGCCUGAACCAGCCAAGUCGCGUGAGGGAAGACGGUCCUAUGGAUUGUAAACCUCUUUUGUCGGGGAGCAAAGAGGCCACGUGUGGUCAAAAGCGAGAGUACCCGAAGAAAAAGCAUCGGCUAACUCCGUGCC
rnacentral:rRNA from 1 species